AAAGCUCAAAUUUAAAAUCUGGCGGUCUUUGGCCGUCCGAGUUGUAAUCUAGAGAAGUAAUGCCCGUGCUGGACCGUGUAUAAGUCUCCUGGGAUGGGGCGUCAUAGAGGGUGAGAAUCCCGUCUUUGACACGGACUACCAGUGCAUUGUGGUAUGCUCUCAAAGAGUCGAGUUGUUUGGGAAUGCAGCUCAAAAUGGGUGGUAAAUUCCAUCUAAAGCUAAAUAUUGGCGAGAGACCGAUA
rnacentral:rRNA from 1 species